rnacentral:lncRNA from 1 species
GGAGAUAGUGAUUUGUAGUGGGAUGGCAAAGAAAGAUAGAAUUAUGAAAGAAGAGAGAGGCAGUUGAGUUGGGGAUGGAAACUAAUAAUUGCAAAGCGAGUGAAGAGCAUGCUGCCAUGCACGAGUGAAGCAGAGACUGGGUUUUUGGCAGAGAGAGAAGCCAGAGAGACUGGCGAAAAUUAUAUCAUUGAAUUACUAUAUCUGAUUAAACUCAUGAAAAUCCGCAGUCACAGGCUUUUGAUCAGAACCCUUAAAACCCUCUACAACAACAUUGACUUAAGCUGAGCCUCUGUGUGUGAAUGAAUCUCAGACACACACACAUGCACAAGAAACAAGUACGUUUCUGGUGUAAAGAGGGGACAUUAAUUUUGAGCUAACUAAUGGUUAAUGGGGGGAUAAAAGAAAGGUAGUACAAGAAAACAAAAAAAAGAAAAGAAAAUAUGGGAGGUAGUAAUUUCCAAUCUUUCAAUAAAGCUAGCAAAAGAAAAAAGUGUGUUGAAACAUCAAACAUGGAUUUCUAAAUCUCGAAGUCAAAUGCCGGGAACCCAGACGCCAACCAUGACCUCUAAACCUCUUACCUGAGUUUGCUUAACCUAGACACAGAUCCUGAGCACCGAACCCCAAAACUAAGCUGCUAAAGGCACCAUAUCUAGGAUGUAUGUUUGUGAAAAGGCCUAGACCUAAAACCUCGACUCUAGCCUUUGGUGAAUUGCAGUGGAAGCUCAAUAAUUAACAAUAAUUGGAAUUAUAUAAACUAUAUUAUGAAGUGGACACCAAAAAAUAAUAACUGUCAUGAUCUUAAAUCACAUACCAAUUUAUACUGGAAUACUAAUUCUUUCCAUUUGUGUAAUAUCUGCUUAACAUUUUGUAAGGACCACUUUUUACAGAAUCC